AGUGAACGCUGGCGGUAGGCCUAACACAUGCAAGUCGAACGGCAGCACAGUAAGAGCUUGCUCUUACGGGUGGCGAGUGGCGGACGGGUGAGGAAUACAUCGGAAUCUACUUUUUCGUGGGGGAUAACGUAGGGAAACUUACGCUAAUACCGCAUACGACCUACGGGUGAAAGCAGGGGAUCUUCGGACCUUGCGCGAUUGAAUGAGCCGAUGUCGGAUUAGCUAGUUGGCGGGGUAAAGGCCCACCAAGGCGACGAUCCGUAGCUGGUCUGAGAGGAUGAUCAGCCACACUGGAGGUGAGACACGGUCCAGACUCCUACGGGAGGCAGCAGUGGGGAAUAUUGGACAAUGGGCGCAAGCCUGAUCCAGCCAUACCGCGUGGGUGAAGAAGGCCUUCGGGUUGUAAAGCCCUUUUGUUGGGAAAGAAAAGCAGCAGGUUAAUACCCCGCUGUUCUGACGGUACCCAAAGAAUAAGCACCGGCUAACUUCGU
rnacentral:rRNA from 1 species